rnacentral:rRNA from 1 species
UACAGAGGGUGCGAGCGUUGUUCGGAAUUAUUGGGCGUAAAGCGCUUGUAGGCGGCCUGUUAAGUUCCGUGUGAAAUCCCCUGGCUUAACCAGGGAAGUGCGCGGAAAACUGGCGGGCUUGAGUGCCGGAGAGGGUCGCGGAAUUCCCGGUGUAGAGGUGAAAUUCGUAGAUAUCGGGAGGAACACCAGUGGCGAAGGCGGCGACCUGGACGGACACUGACGCUGAGACGCGAAAGCGUGGGGAGCAAACAGG